rnacentral:tRNA from 1 species
GGAGGAAUGGCCGAGUGGCUGAAGGCGGCGGUCUUGAAAACCGUUGAACGCAAGUUCCGUGGGUUCGAAUCCUACUUCCUCCGCCA